GGCGCUGCCCCGGCGAGGGCCCGACUUGUGGUGCGGGCAGGAGCGGCCCGAGCGCGGCCCCGCUCUGCUCGUGUCCGCCUCCCGCCGGGCGCGGCAGGGCCCGAUGGCGGCCGGGCUGGGGCCGCGGCUGCUGGCCUUGGCCUUGGCCUUGGCCUUGGGGCCGGCCGGUGUGUGGGCACAGUGGAGGCUGGUGGAGUCUGGCGGAGGUCUGCGAGCACCUGGAGACUCCGUGAAGCUCUCCUGCCAGGGAUCCGGAUUCACCUUCAGUUCAUUUGCUGUAUGGUGGUACCAUCAGGCACCCAGUGGAAGUCUCGAGUGGGUGUCCGUCAUUAAGUAUGAUGGUAGCACAAUAAAAUAUGGCAAAGCGGUGGAGGGCCGAGCCACAGCUUCCCGGGACAAUUCCCAGUCCAAGGCUUAUCUGUCCCUGCGUGCCCUGGUACCCCAGGACUCUGCCCACUACUUCUGUGCAGUUCGCACAGGGACAGGAAAUCCAGCUGAGCUCUAACACAAACCUACUCCCAGGGCCCCUUGCCUUCUCUAGGUGUGCCACUCCCACAGAGAGCAGGGAGGAGCAGCAGAACUGUAUGGAGCUGCUGAAGAGGGCAGAGAAUUGCCUUCAGCUCAGCCCUUUCCCACAUUGCCUGUAGGGGCCCAUGGGAUCAACAGCAGUGUCAGGGGCAAAUGGCCAGGUCAGCUGGAGUGCAGCAAGAAGAGAUGCACAGGCUUCCUCAUGAAAGGAAGUGCCGAGUGCUGCUCUUGGGUCCUAACAACCCGAUUCCGUGGGAUUGAUGGACAUAACAAUCCCAUUCAGGCUUGGGGAAGAGUGGAUGGAAAGUGUCCUGGCAGAAAAGGACCUGAGGGUUUUGUUUGACAGCCAGCUGAACAUGAGCCAGCAGUGUGCCCCUGUGGCCAUGAAGGCCAAUCUUAUCAGAAACAGUGAGGCCAUCAGGAGUGGGGAAGUAAUGGUCCGUUGGGAUGUGGCUCUGGUGACAACACAUCUCGGAUACUGUGUUCAUUUUGGUCCCCUCACUACAAGGAGGUGUGCUGGGUCUGGCUGGGAUGCUAACUUUCCCUGCAGCAGCCCAUACAGUGCUGUGCUCUGCACGUGUAGCUAGAAGAGCACUGGUGUCACACCAGCGUUUCAUCUGUUGCUGCCCAAUACUGGCACAGCAUCAGGACUCCCUCCAACCCCCCAAGAGCCAGCAGGCUGGGGGUGUGGAAGUGAUGGGGAGGGGACAUCACUGGGGCAGCUGACCUAAACCAACCAAAGGG